AUUGAACGCUGGCGGCAGGCCUAACACAUGCAAGUCGAGCGGAGCGGCGGACGGGUGAGUAAUGCCAAGGAAUCUGCCUGUUAGUGGUGGAUAACGUCCGGUAACGGGCGCUAAUACCGCAUCCUAUCACUUUCGCCUAGGUCGGAUUAGCUAGGUGGUGGGGUAAAGGCCUACCAAGGCGACGAUCCGUACCUGGUCUGAGAGUGUGAUCAGUCACACUGGAACUGAGACACGGUCCAGACUCCUACGGGAGGCAGCAGUGGGGAAUAUUGGACAAUGGGCGAAAGCCUGAUCCAGCCAUGCCGCGUGUGUGAAGAAGGUCUUCGGAUUGUAAAGCACUUUAAGUUGGGAGGCGUUACCAACAGAAUAAGCAACGGCUAACUACGUGCCAGCAGCCGCGGUAAUAC
rnacentral:rRNA from 1 species